CUGCUAAUACCGUAUACGCCCUCCGGGGGAAAGGUCUGCCGCUGAAAGAGGGGCCCGCGUCUGAUUAGCUUGUUGGUAGGGUAAAAGCCUACCAAGGCUACGAUCAGUAGCUGGUCUGAGAGGAUGAUCAGCCACACUGGGACUGAGACACGGCCCAGACUCCUACGGGAGGCAGCAGUCGGGAAUAUUGGACAAUGGAGGAAACUCUGAUCCAGCAAUGCCGCGUGUGUGAUGAAGGCCCUAGGGUUGUAAAGCACUUUCAACGGUGAAGAU
rnacentral:rRNA from 1 species